AUUCAGGCUGUUCCUAGCUCCCAGGGACCCCGUGGCAGGGAAGGUGGCGGGACACCUGCUGCCGGGAGCGCAGCCUCUACGUCCAGCGGUAUAAACUCCGUGUCCCUGCUCUCGAGUUGGGGUGUACCCUUGCCCCGAGUGGGGUCACAUCAUCACCUCCUCGUGUCGUGGCCUCCGUAUCGGGGACACUGUGGCUGCCCCAAGGCAGAUCCCGAGCACUGGGGCCCCGGCUGCGGUUCCCCAGUCCCGCGUUCCUGCCCCGCAUCCGGUGUCCUAACUCGCAGAUGCACGGGGGAGACUCGGGGUACCCUGGGUGGAGGGGGGCACACUGGCCCAUCAGCCAUCCAGUCGGUGAAGGAGGCGAUCCCGGCCCCAAGAGGCCAGUGGGGUGAGACCCCGGCCGGGUGGGCAGGGCAGCCCCACCUUCCCGCGGCACCUGACGGAUCCCUUGCUGCCGAGGAGCGUGUCCGUCCUCCCUUCCCCGCCCCUACUCUGGGCCGCCCCGGGCGUCUCGGCGUGGACACCUGUCCGUCUUCAUCCCGGGACCGCUGCCCCCGUGGCCGGAAGAAACUGUUCCCUCCAGAGCGCCCUUGGGAGGUGCUGCGAUGCCUCCGAGGCUCAUCCGCGGCCUCACCCCGCCACCCACCCUGGGGCCCGGGCACCUGGCGGCCCCGGAGCGCGUGGCCUCGAGGAAGCACUCAGGGGUGGAGCCCCUCCGCCCCGCGCUCCGCAGCCAGCACCUGCCCGUGGGCCGCCCUGGCCUGCGGGAGGCCUCAGCUCCGUCCUCCGGUUUGCAAAAGCAUCACCUCGAAGGGCUUUGUAGGCAGCACGAGAGGGUCGCCUCCCAGCAGGACCCUGCUCCCGGCACCACAGCUCAGGGACGGUUUUGCCCGCUGUGACCAUCCUCCCAAGAGCUGCGAGAACGUGACUGUGCCUGCCCCUCAGGCCGGGGCCCGUGCCCGCGGCGAUGCCCCACCCGCGAACGGGCCACCCCCCGCACCGGGAACCCUAAGGGCGAGGUUCUGA
rnacentral:lncRNA from 1 species